rnacentral:rRNA from 1 species
UACGUAGGGGGCAAGCGUUGUCCGGAUUUACUGGGCGUAAAGGGUGCGUAGGCGGAUAUUUAAGUCAGAUGUGAAAUACCCGAGCUUAACUUGGGUGCUGCAUUUGAAACUGGGUGUCUAGAGUGCAGGAGAGGUAAGUGGAAUUCCUAGUGUAGCGGUGAAAUGCGUAGAGAUUAGGAAGAACACCAGUGGCGAAGGCGACUUACUGGACUGUAACUGACGCUGAGGCGUGAAAGCGUGGGGAGCAAACAGG